GACGAACGCUGGCGGCGUGCUUAACACAUGCAAGUCGAACGGAAAGGCCCUGCUUUUGUGGGGUGCUCGAGUGGCGAACGGGUGAGUAACACGUGAGUAACCUGCCCUUGACUUUGGGAUAACUUCAGGAAACUUGGGCUAAUACCGGAUAGGAGCUCCUGCUGCAUGGUGGGGGGUGGAAAGUUUCGGCGGUUGGGGAUGGACUCGCGGCUUAUCAGCUUGUUGGUGGGGUAGUGGCUUACCAAGGCUUUGACGGGUAGCCGGCCUGAGAGGGUGACCGGCCACAUUGGGACUGAGAUACGGACCAGUCUCCUACGGGAGGCAGCAGUGGAGAAUAUUGCACAAUGGGCGGAAGCCUGAUGCAGAAACGCCGCGUGCGGGAUGACGGCCUUCGGGUUGUAAACCGCUUUCGCCUGUGACGAAGCGUGAGUGACGGUAAUGGGUAAAGAAGCACCGGCUAACUACGUG
rnacentral:rRNA from 1 species